CCCUUAGAUGUUCGGGGCCGCACGCGCGCUACACUGAAGGAAUCAGCACGUCUUUCUCCUUGUCCGAAAGGACUGGGUAACCCGCUGAACCUCCUUCGUGCUAGGGAUUGGGGCUUGUAAUUCUUCCCCAUGAACGAGGAAUUCCCAGUAAGCGCGAGUCAUAAGCUCGCGUUGAUUACGUCCCUGCCCUUUGUACACACCGCCCGUCGCUACUACCGAUUGGAUGGUUUAGUGAGAUCCUCGGAUUGGUCCCGGAGCGGCCUCUGGUCGUGCCGGAGUGCCGAAAAGAAUGUCGAACUUGAUCAUCUAGAGGAAGUAAAAGUCGUAAC
rnacentral:rRNA from 1 species